UCCAGACUCCUACGGGAGGCAGCAGUGGGGAAUAUUGGACAAUGGGGGGAACCCUGAUGCAGCGACGCCGCGUGGGUGAAGGAGCACCUCGGUGCGUAAAGCCCUAUCGGCAGGGAAGAAAAGCGAACAGGUUCGCCUGGACGGUACCUGACUAAGAAGCCCCGGCUAAAUACGUGCCAGCAGCCGCGGGAAUACGUAGGGGGCAAGCGUUAUCCGGAUUCACUGGGUGUAAAGGGAGCGUAGACGGCGGCGCAAGUCUGGAGUGAAAGCCCGGGGCCCAACCCCGGGACUGCUCUGGAAACUGCGGCGCUGGAGUACGGGAGGGGCAGGCGGAAUUCCUGGUGUAGCGGUGAAAUGCGUAGAUAUUAGGAGGAACACUAGUGGCGAAGGCGGCCUGCUGGGCUUUAACUGACGCUGAGGCUCGAAAGCGUGGGUAGCAAACAGGAUUAGAUACCCGAGUA
rnacentral:rRNA from 1 species